rnacentral:rRNA from 1 species
UUGGAGGGCAAGUCUGGUGCCAGCAGCCGCGGUAAUUCCAGCUCCAAUAGCGUAUAUUAAAGUUGUUGCAGUUAAAAAGCUCGUAGUUGAAUUUCGGGGUCAGUAGGUUGGUCGUGCCACAGGUACGUACUGGUCUCACUGAUUCCUCCUUCCUGAUGAACCGUAAUGCCAUUAAUUUGGUGUUGCGGGGAAACUGGACUGUUACUUUGAAAAAAUUAGAGUGUUUAAAGCAGGCUAACGCUUGAAUACAUUAGCAUGGAAUAAUGAAAUAGGACGUUCGAUCCUAUUUUGUUGGUUUCUAGGAUUGACGUAAUGAUUAAUAGGGAUAGUUGGGGACAUUAGUAUUCAAUUGUCAGAGGUGAAAUUCUUGGAUUUAUUGAAGACUAACUACUGCGAAAGCAUUUGCCAAGGAUGUUUUCAUUGAUCAAGAACGAAAGUUAGGGGAUCGAAGACGAUCAGAUACCGUCGUAGUCUUAACCAUAAACUAUGCCGACUAGGGAUCGGAUGAUGUUAAUUUUUUAAUGACUCAUUCGGCGCCUUACGGGAAAC